rnacentral:rRNA from 1 species
AUUGAACGCUGGCGGCAGGCCUAACACAUGCAAGUCGAGCGGGGUUUUCGGACCUAGCGGCGGACGGGUGAGUAAUGCUUAGGAAGCUACCCGAUAGAGGGGGAUACCAGUUGGAAACGACUGUUAAUACCGCAUAAUGUCUACGGACCAAAGUGUGGGACCUUCGGGCCACAUGCUAUCGGAUGCGCCUACGUGGGAUUAGCUAGUUGGUGGGGUAAUGGCUCACCAAGGCGACGAUCCCUAGCUGGUUUGAGAGGAUGAUCAGCCACACUUGAACUGAGACACGGUCCAGACUCCUACGGGAGGCAGCAGUGGGGAAUAUUGGACGAUGGGCGCAAGCCUGAUCCAGCCAUGCCGCGUGUGUGAAGAAGGCCUUCGGGUUGUAAAGCACUUUCAGUAGGGAGGAAGGGUGUUGUGUUAAUAGCACAGCAUUUUGACGUUACCUACAGAAGAAGCACCGGCUAACUCUGUGCCAGCCGCCGCCGUAAUAC